CUCAAGUCAUGUUCGAUAUCUAGUUAAGGGGUACAUUUAUCUCCAGUGUUCCCCGGGACCUUCCCUUUUGAUUUUCAAGAACAUUUUCUUCCCUCUGCCAGAGCAGUCCUUUCGAAUCAAAGGCUCGGCUUUUCCAAAGCGUAGUUUCUGAUGUGGGCUUCAGUGGACUGGCUGCGAAGUUCCUGAGACAAUGAGAGGGGAUGCUGGCUGUCUCUUUCUCUUUAUCUUCUCGCAGUAAAGCUCCAGUUCUCCUUGAGGUAAAGUGGAGCCUCUGAUUGACGCGAGGACGCGGGGAAAAUGAAAGCCAUAUUAUUAUUAUUUCAAGUUGUGUUCUUGCGGCGUUCCCGGAUGUCUGUGGUGACCCUUCACUUGUUGUGUGAAGUCAACAAAACUGACCAGCACACCAUCUGAAUGCUACAGCGGGAUGGAGAUGGGAGGCGAAGCCUUGGAAGCUGGAGGGUGAAUAGCUGGUGUGCACAACCCCCUAGCAACGGGCAAACAAGGAGGAGUGUGGAAUGGGAGUCAGUGCUUAAUGGGCACUAAGUUUCC
rnacentral:lncRNA from 1 species